ACAGCUAACAAAUGAGGGAGGCGGGGGCAGUGGUCCAGGAGGGGUGAAGAGAAAGAGGCUGCUAGAGAGGAGCUGCCAGAGUUGAAUCCUGGGGGUCAGUCGGUCAGUGGAGGACCCCAACAGGUUCCUGCUGUGUGGCAGUUCUCUUCGGAAUAUAUGGCAAUGAUGUGAAUUUGACUGAGUCAUUGAAUAGGAGGCUCGAUAUUGAUGACA
rnacentral:lncRNA from 1 species